rnacentral:misc_RNA from 1 species
GAUGAAGAACGCAGCGAAAUGCGAUAAGUAAUGUGAAUUGCAGAAUUCAGUGAAUCAUCGAAUCUUUGAACGAACAUUGCGCCCAUUAGUAUUCUAGUGGGCAUGCCUGUUCGAGCGUCAUUUCAACCCUUAAGCCUAGCUUAGUGUUGGGAGACUGCCUAAUACGCAGCUCCUCAAAACCAGUGGCGGAGUCUGUUCGUGCUCUGAGCGUAGUAAUUUUUUAUCUCGCUUCUGCAAGCCGGCCAGACGACAGCCAUAAACCGCACCCUCUCGGGGGGCACUUUUUUAAUGGUUGACCUCGGAUCAGGUAGGAAUACCCGCUGAACUUAAGCAUAUCAAUAAGCGGAGGA